UAAAUUUGCAAAGGAAUGAGAAUAACUAAAAUAAAGUUGAAAAAGAUUAAAGUUGCAAGAAUCAUUCUACCAGAUUUCAAGAUUUACUAUAUGUGUAGUACUCAAGGCUGUGGUAUUGUUGGGGAGACGGGCACAUGGAUCAAUGGAACAGAACAGGGAACCCAGAAAUCCAGAGGCAGUCCCAACACUAGUACUGCCAACUGAUUUUUAGAAAUGUUUUUAUUAGUGCAUUAUAGUUGCACAUAAUAGUCGUGUUCUUUUUGACAUAAUCAUACAUACAUGGAAUAUAACUGGCUCCAUUUCAGUCCCCUGUGUCCCCCCCGCCCUUCCCUUCCUCCACUCUAUUGGUCUUCUUUCUAUUUAUUUGUAGGGUUUUUUUUGUUGUUGUUUUGUUUUGUUUUUUAAAGUUUUGGUGCUUGCUAAGUGAAAUAAGCCAGACUCAGAAAGUCAAGGGUUGGAUGUUUUCUCUCAUAUUUGGAGUCUAGAGGAAAAUAAGGGGAAAAGUGGGGGAUUCCAUGAACCGAGGGCUAAUUACGAAGGAGAGGAAGAGGUUAGAGGGGAGAGAGGAGGGAUGGGAAAAGGGAGGAACUGAAUGAAUGAAAUUGACCAAAUUAUAUGAAUACACCACAGUGCGUUUCACCUGUAUGUGUAUCUAUAAAGCAACAAAUAAUUUUUUGAUAAAGGUACAUAAGUAACUCAAUGGAAGAAAGUUUUUUUUUUUUAAACUAAUGGCACAGGAGUAAUUGGACAUCUACAGGUGAAAACCACCCCAAAAAAUAUAGGGGAAAAAAGAAAAUAAAGCAAAAGAACCUUGCCUUGACAUAAACUUUGUCUGACACCUUAUAUAAAAAUGAACUCAAAAUGGAUUGUAGCUUUGGGGCUGGGGAUGUGGCUCAAGCGGUAGAGCGCUCGCCUGGCAUGCGUGCGGCCUGGGUUCGAUCCUCAGCACCACAUACAAACAAAGAUGUUGUGUCCAC
rnacentral:lncRNA from 1 species